GAUGAAGAACGUAGCGAAAUGCGAUAAGUAAUGUGAAUUGCAGAAUUUAGUGAAUCAUCGAAUCUUUGAACGCACAUUGCGCCCGCCAGUAUUCUGGCGGGCAUGCCUGUUCGAGCGUCAUUACAACCCUCAGGCCCCCGGGCCUGGCGUUGGGGAUCGGCGGAAGCCCCCUGCGGGCACAACGCCGUCCCCCAAAUACAGUGGCGGUCCCGCCGCAGCUUCCAUUGCGUAGUAGCUAACACCUCGCAACUGGAGAGCGGCGCGGCCACGCCGUAAAACACCCAACUUCUGAAUGUUGACCUCGAAUCAGGUAGGAAUACCCGCUGAACUUAAGCAUAUCAAUAAGCGGAGGA
rnacentral:misc_RNA from 1 species